rnacentral:rRNA from 1 species
GAUGAACGCUGGCGGCGUGCCUAAUACAUGCGAGUCGAGCGAACGGACGAGAAGCUUGCUUCUCUGAUGUUAGCGGCGGACGGGUGAGUAACACGUGGAUAACCUACCUAUAAGACUGGGAUAACUUCGGGAAACCGGAGCUAAUACCGGAUAAUAUUUUGAACCGCAUGGUUCAAAAGUGAAAGACGGUCUUGCUGUCACUUAUAGAUGGAUCCGCGCUGCAUUGGCUAGUUGGUAAGGUAACGGCUUACCAAGGCAACGAUGCAUAGCCGACCUGAGAGGGUGAUCGGCCACACUGGAACUGAGACACGGUCCAGACUCCUACGGGAGGCAGCAGUAGGGAAUCUUCCGCAAUGGGCGAAAGCCUGACGGAGCAACGCCGCGUGAGUGAUGAAGGUCUUCGGAUCGUAAAACUCUGUUAUUAGGGAAGAACAUAUGUGUAAGUAACUGUGCACAUCUUGACGGUACCUAAUCAGAAAGCCACGGCUAACUACGUG